AUAUGCCAAAGCUUGAAGAAAACUGACCUUUAACUCUGAUUAAGAAACAGGUCAGGGGGUUUGGCUUUACCAGGAGGGAAAAAGUAAUGGCUAUUCCUCCUUUCUGAAGCUGUAAUGGUUUAAUUCAUUUUCCAAGGAUGACUGGUGAAAAGAUAAGUAUUUUUCUAGCCUGAGUUGAGUAAGCAUAAAAGAUGUUUCAGCAUUGAGCUAUUGAAAUAAUCAGAAGUGCAUUGUCCACGGGUCUCUGAGUUUACCUUGUGCAUAAUGAUUAUAAAUCACCAAGUACAAUGAUUAACAGGCUUUUAUCACAAUCAUUCGUUGCAUUUAAAGAAAGGCUGGGAAGUGGGAGAAGGCUGUCUUACGGUGGCAUUACAGUCCAUUUUCAGCAAGCUGCCUAUGUUGCAAGAGGGGUUAGAAACCUGUAGCAACUUGCCUUCACCUAGAAACCUUCUCCCAGUGGGUUAUCAACACAGUGAACAGGCAGCUACUAAGAGGUGCAGAAUCACAAGAGGGAAGCCUCUUUAUUCCCUUGGAUUGUUAUGGUGGGGAAGAUAUGUGACAUGUAAGUCUGAUAUAAUAAUGACAUGCAGAGGAAUAAAGGUUCUUUAUAGAUGCUCCAAUCUAUUGUUUUGUUUUAUAUUCCCAGAACAAAGCAUUUCAUGUAUUUGCAUAAUAAGAAGCCACCAGUUUACUCUGUUGAAUCAUGAAUAGUGAAGGCCUUUAAGUUUGUAAGUUAAUGGUUUUCUCAGCAAAGAGAGAAUAGAUGAUCAUUAUUCUUUUGUGCAGGUCCCUUAUCUGUUUGCGUUCAUACUGUCCCUGUGAGCAGUGCUGCAAUCUAUCAGUGGGAAUAUAUUUCUAGCUCAUUUGUGUUCCCCCUGUCAGAGACCUGAAUGUAGUAAUAGACCUUAAUGGCUCAGCCUGGGCCAUUCACCCCCAUCCUCUGACCAGAGGCUGUAUUUCAGUUCAGCCCUGGUCCUUCAGUUCCUGCUACACAGGCUGUGGGUACAUCUGUUUUCCCAGUCAUGUCUGUGCAAGGCAAUGGGUCCUGUUGCUCUGGCUCUCUGCUCUAGUCUAAUUCCCUGGCUGCUAUCAGCUUCAUCCGUGUGCAUGGUUUUGAGCACUCUGCUCCAGCUCACCCUACUUUGAGCUGAGGGCUCAGGUGAAAUGAUUUCCAGAUAUCUCUUCCAACCUCGGCUGUUCUGAGAUUCUCUUUCUAACAGUAAAAGACUGGCUUAAUCAGAAUUGAAAUGACUGUCAUGCCCUCCAGUCUGUGUGUUUCAAGGGAAGCUGUCCUGUGUGUCUCUGUAAUAGCUUUACAGAGGUAUAUUAACUCCAAAGGUGAAUGAUCCCUGUCUUACUACAAUAGGCAAUAGAAAUUGUCUCAGUGGCUGAAAAAAAACAGUAUACUAAAGCAGCCUUCAUUGAACUCCUUUCCCUUCAAAAAAGAUACUUUUUAAAAAUGGUAAUAUGCUAUGUAAUCUGAGAUAUCUAAUAGCUGGACAUUGGCAGCUUCUUAGAAUGUGAUUCAAUUAAAAUGUUCUGUGAACCCGCACAUCUCAUUGCCAGAAACCUUUUAUGCUCUAAGCCUUCAUACAUCACGUAACUAUUUGUCCUCAGUUGCAUCCUCUGUUCAUGCUUCUUGAAUAGCUGUAAGCUUAUCUGAUGGCUUUUAAUCGGGAAAUGGUAGAAAUUGACAGCCUCAAGCUGUCACUGCACACAAAGGCAUCAUGAGACAUGUAUCUAUUAGUCCUGUGAAGGGAGUGCGUUCAAGUUGUGCUGUUCGUAAUCUCCUGUUGGAACCAAUAUUGGUAAUGACUUCACUGGUAUCACACUUGGCAAAAAUUAAACGCAUAUUUUAUCCUUUCCUAGAGCUAUUUCUAUUUUCAGGCAUCAUAGAUAAGGAUGCAAAAUGGACAAGGAUUGAUACCCUGUGUUGAAUUUAAGACAAUACUGUAAAAAGAGUGAGCAGUGCUGGCAAAUCUGAUGGCAUUUGUCUGGUGAUUUUUAGCUGGCAAAGAGACGUUAGCUCAGUUCUGACAACCUAAUGAUUCUGAUGGCAUUAUGAUGGUUUAUUGAGAACUUGUUGUUCUGUUGUGACAGUGACAAUUUCCUGGGUAUAAAGUCCAAUGCCAAAGAACCUGCAGGGUAAGGUAGCAGGCAGUGUGCGGUCAGCUGCUUGCUGUACAGAAUGGUUGAGCUACUGACCUUCAAAAUCACUGAACUUGCUGCUGCUUUUUGACAAUCUGCCAUGGCCAGAGUAGAAGAUAGGAUUUAAGAAAGUUAGGAAUACAUCUGGGAGUAGGUCUCUGCAUUUUACAGCCUGGUUGACAGUGUCCAGUCCUCACAUGCUUAUAAACAUGUUUUUUUUCCUCCUUACACCUGUUUUCCAUUUGCCUAUUGACUCGUUUGGAUCAGCUUCAUUCUGGGCUCCCUGAAAGUGCCUGUCUCAUGCCGGAAGGAAUGACGUUUCUCUGGUCACCAGGCCAAAUGUGUUGAUGAUGCUAAAGCAGCAGUGGCAUGCCGCAUCUCUGAGUUUUGGGGAAACACCUUAAACCUAUUCCAACUCUGAACUUCACAGCCUAUUCAAGCCCCAUUUUUCUGAGGCCUCUCAUCAUCUUAACACUGGAAUUUUCAGGACCAAAGUUUUACUCCUUUUGUCCCUUCACUAGUAAGGAGUUUUACACCUUAAUAAAAGACACAACAAAGUACAAUCUAGCUGCAAUUUCUUUUAAGUCACUGAAGAGUCACUGAUUUCAUUGUGGCAUUGUCAGCAGCACAAAAGCAGCUUCUCAACCAUCUUCUGUAAAUUAAGUAUUACCUUAAGAAACAGCUUUCUAUUACCUGUUCUUAUACAGUUACUUUUUCUAUCCAUAUCAAUAGUUUGAGUUCAACUGAAAUCUUGCUCGCUCUGUUAGAAAAAGCUUUCAAUACCAUUUCCAUUGCUUAGACAGAAAGUAGCAGUGAGGAGGUUUUGCAGAACCUCCCUGAAAAUGUGUGAUCUUUGCGGAAUGGACCACUUGUAAAAAGCCUUCCACAUCCUCCCGUUGUUCAUACUGCACAGGCCUGGGCUGUGAAUGAUCUGCCAGUAAAUAAAAAUGGCAUGUCGAUGUCUUGCUUUUCCCCACCUUCUUGGAGGGGUAUUUUAGCUCUGAGUGCAUAGCUGAGCACUCUGAAAAGCAUUCCGGAUGAGCAGCAUGUCGACUUAUGCCACGUUAUGGAAAGAGGUUGCUGUUUGCUGGUGGGCAGCUGUAAUUUGAGUCACGUGUGUGGGUUUAUUAGGCAUGGCUUCAGACAAACAGAGGGACUCAUUCCCUAUUUUACAGCCCAAGUGGUAUAAAAAUAACUUAAAAAGGGCUGGUGGUGGCUGGGCCUCUGGCUGCCAUGGGGCUGAGAGGAAGGGAUGCAUGUGUGGCUGUGCUGCACUGUGUGGGGUCUCACCUUCUGCUGUUUCCAUAGCACUAAGCUCUUACAUGGCCGGUAGAACUCAGGGCCAUUUGAGAAACCAUUGCUGAUAACCAAAAGGUUCAGGAGGUUUUAAUACGUUUAAGAGGGAAGGAAGGGAUAAGAGCUAAAUCUGGAAAUACGUAAAAGCUUGAUUCAACUGUGUGGCUGUAACUGCAGCUAUCAGAAAACCUACCUUUAUGAAGAAAAUGAAAUGCUGUUGCUGCUAUGUAAAAAUGUUCCUUUCCAAAAAUUCAGCAGUCUGCAAACGGAGAGGAAGUCAGGCCAAUAAACAAAAUCAGAUAAAAUGGAUUUUAUUCUGCCAACUGUUGAUGUAAUGAAAUAAUGAGGAAAAAUGCUGUAAACAGCACUUGUUUUAAAACACUGAAUCUCCAAAUCUAACUUUUCUUUUAAUUGGACUGUCAGGAUGGUGAGACCUCACAGUGCUUACAGGCACCCAUGAAAAACUCAAAAGGGAGAGAAGAAAUUCAUUAAAGCAGCUAAUUUCUAGCACAGUGCUGGUCUGUCUGUCCCUUUCUCCCUAUCAAUAUAAAUCGUAAGACUGAUUCCUUACUGCAAAACACUCUUUGUUACCAGUGGGUAGCUUGUUCCCUUUGAGUAGUGCUGAUAAAAUGUUCACCCUUGCUAAAGGGAGGGAAAAACCCCUCUGCUGUCAUGUGGGAACCAGAGCAAUUUGUGUGAGGCUUGUGUGUGAGGCCUUGGGCAUAAAAGGGUUAAGGAUAUCUGCAGGAAGUGUUCUUGAGAGGUUGCAUCAUCGCUUCAGUUUUAGUUUAUUAUGAUUUCUAUGUGUACACAAUUUAGCUUAGCACUAAUGUGUUGCCAUUUGACUAAUUAAAGUUGGGCCAACUGCACAGUGUCAGGUUGUGGAUUCUCCUGCUAAUUGCAUUGAGCUUUCUACCUGUUAAUUUAUUAAGAUAAAUAUUUUCAGAAGGCUUUGAUAAUUAUUAGCUAUUUGUGAAUUGUGCCUCUCACCUGUCACCAUCCUCUCAGCUUAUGUGUUCCCAAAACAGGAGGUUGGAGCAUUAUUCCCUACAACAUCCUGAUAACGUGCCAAGCAUGAGAUCUGAGAGAGAAAAUGAAGCUGGUAAUUGGAACUGCCUAAAAGUAGGGCAGGACUGGGUGUAGGCAGAGCAUCGGGUUGGGGGGAGUGUGCUCUGAUCCCAGCUCUCCCACUGCCUAUCGAUGUGAUCUCAUACUGAUUGUAUCAGACUUUCAGGGCUCAAUUCAGUAUCACAAAAAUCAAGAUCAUGGCACUGUUUGCAUUGCUCAGCGACACAUAACCUGGAUUGAAGGGUGCUGUGCUGAAUUAGAGACCUUUCAACAUAGCCCCGAGGUGGCAAGAAGGAAAAGCUUGGGCUGAGCCCAUCAGGGAGUACAGAGGUGACACUGCUGUUGUAGUGCAUGAUUGGAGACUGCUGCUCAGAACUAUGAGCCUCGUAAAUUUGUUGUGCAUACUAUGUAACAAGGCUGAAAUCUUCUGUAGACCAUGCUGUAAUGCCAGCACUAGCUACAGGGAGAUGUCUACACUCCUGUUCUACGGGUGUGAUGCUCUGACACAGUGCACACACCCAUAGUUGAUGUGAAAUUCAUUUCCAGUUGUGUGGAGAUGGAUUGAGGUUUGUGAGUACCAGAGAUGUUCUGUGGGACCUCGAACUUUCUUUAACUGCAUCCUCUUCCACCUUUGCUAGAGCCUGCAGUUUCAACUGCAUAACAGCAUUAAAAUUGACUUUGGAAUUAAUUUUAAAUAGAUGAAAUACUUGUGUCUUAGAAUCUUAUAGCAAAUGCCCAUAAUCUGGCGUAGCAAUUUUCUUUGAUUUCCAUCUUAAAUAUCUUCACGUAGAUAAGGGGUGUUUUGUACCCAUUCUUAAGAAACAGGCUCAGGGAUGGGUUAUGAAGAAACUUUUCUUGCCUGGCUUCUGCCGUGUGUUUUUUUGUUCCUUUCCAGCAGCAGCAGAACUGAAGACUUACGUGACUGAUGGAUUCAUUCAGGGCAUCUCGGAGGCAAAACCCUCACACCCAUUGCCAGCAGCCUGUGUGUGUGUGUGUGUGUGUGUGUGUGUGUGUGUGUGUGUGUGUGUGUGUGUGUGUUUGUGUGUGCUCAGGACCCUGGCAGCUCUCGGUGAGUGACAACGUGCUGUCGCUGUCAUCUGCACACGUGUGCAAUAUUAAUAACUGCUUCAGUGACCUUCACGUUUUCUUUCUAUGUGUCUCAGUAGAACUGAAGCAAUACACAAUUUUCCACAAGAAAUUACAGGCGAGUGGCUUAACGGAGAAAUCCACCCCCUCGUUUCCACUACCCUGUACAAAUAUUUCUAGAGCUGCUGGUGAACUUGUGCACAGUAAUGCACCGAGAGCAGCUUUCCAGGGUGGGAGCGCAGCCCAAGCCCUUGGGAUUGAUCCUGGGGAUCAGUGCCUUUUGUGGGAAACGGGCAGUGUGCUUUAUUCCCCACCCAGCUCUCAUCUCUUCAAGGCCAGGCUGGAUGUGGCUCUGAGCAGCCUGGUCUGGUGGUUGGUGACCCUGCACAUAGCAGGGGGUUGAAACUUGAUGAUCACUGUGGUUCUUUUCAACCCAGGCCAUUCUAUGAUUCUGCGAUCUCUCUUACAGCCCGUGCCCUCCACGACUGCAGGGAGGAGUGCUACAUUCAAAGAAGUGUUCAUUACGGCUGUUUUCCCCAUGCCCUUUCCAUGUUCUAUCAUUGUUUUGUACACAGAGCAGAAGAACAAAGAGGUUCCUUUAAAUAAUUAUAUUCUUCCUCUGCUAAAUAUAGAUUAGGGUUUUUUUCUGAUGGUUAUUAAAAAAAAUCGUGCUAAUUUACGCUGCUAAUGACAGAUUUACUGGCAUUCAUGCAACUCGUACUGUCAAUAUAGUUUCUAAAAAAUGACUGCACGUGUGUUAUUUCUGGAGCUUCUGAGCUGAAUAUACAGCUGGUGGGUGCCGUUCUGCUGCCUUCCCGGCAUCUCUGCACUCAGCUGCCAAUUAGACCCAAGUGCUCCUAGUGGUGGUCUUGUUGCUACAGAACCUGGGGGGAUUCAGGAAAUCUGCAUUCAGUUCUGAGAUUCAACCCCAGUGAAUUCCCUGAGUAACGUGCAGCAAAGCAGCCUUUUGGCUCAGUUCUGUUGUAAAUAGGCACGUAGUUAAUAGGGCCUCUUGUCCCAUGGUCACAAGUUCAAAGGACCGUGGUGGGUUGGCCCUGGCCAGCAGUGAGACGUCGCCACAGCCAUCACUGAACCAAUGCUUGAAGCUUCUCUACAAAGCAAGUUUCCAUGAUCUGAAGUGGGUUUUUCCUUUCUUUCCGCACCCACAAAGACACAUCAAAUGGUUCUUCAUUAUUUAAAUCCUUCUUUUCAAGAGGAAUUACCAACUGGGCAGGAUGCUGGCUGUUGAACAAUGUGUCAUGUUUCCAGUUCUAAAUCCCACAUAAUUAGCUGAGUGUACCGGAGGAAACCAUAAUUUGCAUAAGGUUGCUGAAUAAUCAUUACAUUCUUUUAAAAUUACUUAGAUUGGAACGCUUUCUGUUCUGCCUUUGCAUGACAGAAGUGGUGGAGACCUGGCUGUAGCCGAGGACAAGGACCUUGGGGACAGGUGAAACAUGGCCUUUCUGCUGCUGGGGCACAACCUCUCGCCUCAGCACACCACCAAUCUCUGCACAGGAGGGUAGGGAGCUGGAGAAGCACUGUGGAGAGUUUCAGAUCAUCUAAUUGACUUUUUUCUUCUUCCCUCCCCCAGCGUGCUGAAACACCUGUAUAAGAGCCUUACCUUCUUCUAAAAAUAAGCAAAGGAAGCAGUCUCUAACACCCAAUUAUCUCAGACUUGGAGAAACAGAUGUGAUUAAGGUUUUAAGGCAGCCUUCAAACGGGCAUCUGAAAAUAUGUCCAAACUGCAAACGACAGCAGAUGUACGGUGGAAGGGAAUGUGGAUGGCAGUCAUUGACUUGAGAAAUGCACAGGAUAAUAAAAGAGGUGUUAACAGAUGGGAGAUGUAAAAAAAAAUAAAUAAGAGGGAUGUGGGAAGAGCAAAGCCUGUGAAGUAACUGUUGAUGGAAGACAAGAAGUGGGAAAAUGUGCUUGGGUGGAUAUGUCUGGAGGAGGGGUCUGAGGCCACCAGAUCUUGUGCAGCAGAAUUAGCAUUUUCCUUCCCUUGGGAAGGGAGAGCUGGGAACUGAGUGGCUGAAAAGCUCUGGCCUGGGGAAUAUUUUUUCCAGGUGUGUUUCUGUAUUCUAGAGCAAACCCACCACUUCUCUGUGCCAUGCUGUCAUUGAGGCAGUCCCGUACCACCUGGCACCAGCCAUGUCUGUCCCAUGGACAGAGCGCUGUGCUGGCCUGCCCUGCUGCGUGUCCUGAAAUCUGUACUCAACUCUCAAGCUCUGUCUAAUUCCAUGAGCAUACAGCUAAUCCAGUUAAUGCUUUUUUUUUUUUUCUUCCCCUCCAGAAAUGAUGCUGAUGUUUUGGUGCCAGGAUGUGCUGUUUAAAGCCUUCUCCAAAUGACUCCCAGGUUCUGGGAAGCUGAACAGUCUGAAAGACAAAAUCAGUUCCCCUCCUGGUGCUUGUCAUGACCUGACCUACCCAACACAUUCAUGGCUGCUGUCGACAACCAGAACAGAUCAAGUGUCUUUUUACGACACUUACUUUUCUUGCAAAGGAGAUGACAUCUGACUGUUCUUUCAGUAGCAAAACCCUCGUGUGAACUUGAAGGACUUGCUGAAAUUGCCAACGUGCUCUCGCCAUGCACCAAAGCAAUAGGAACCACAUGGGGCUGUGGGGAAGGGAGUUGCUGCUCCCCACCAACACCCAUCCCAGUACAAACAGUGAGCCCCAGAGACAACGGUGAGGACAGCAGCUCCUUUUCUGCCAGUAUUUCACAGUCGGACCAUCCAGGAUUUGUUUUUUGCAUCACCAACCUUCAGAUGUGCAGGAAAAGUGAUGUUUGCAGAGGACUUUGCUGCCUGUGCCAGCAAUCAGGGCCGAAUUAAGGGACUUGACGCUGAGAGGGGAUGAGGACAUUGAGUCAACGUGCAAUCUAAUCCGAUAUGUCAAAGAGAAAGAGGGGCUUUUGUGCUGGUUAAUGGACUGUCCUUUGGAGACGCAGCACUUGCCUCCGGGAAUGACGCACACGUCGGCCAGGCUGGAGUGCUCGGAAGGAAUUAGGCUGUAUAAUUUCAGGUUGCCUUUGAGUCAAAGAAAGUUUUUAGAGAUUCAUUCCUUAUUUAUUGACAUGUUUGCUUUUGCCGCAGAGAAAGAAAAGGAAAAGUCCUGUGAGAUGGAAAAAAAAAAAACCACUUUCCAUCAUGCUUCUAAAAAGAGCCUCAGGAUUUUUUACGAAGUCCCAGUUAAAAACUGCCUGCAAAGUUAAUUGGAGGACUGGACAAAAACCACAGUAUUUUUUUUCUUUACAUGAAUUCUUGCCUUUGCUUUGCCUAAGUGCACUCUGUGCCUAUGAUAUUGAAUGUGACCAUGUGCAGAAUAAAAAAUGAUUGCUUCUG
ensembl:lncRNA